rnacentral:lncRNA from 1 species
CCGCAAAAAAAAUAUGAUGAAGGUAAUUUGGCUUUAGAAUGCAUGUAAUUGUUCGCCGUCUUUUUUUCCAAUUGGUUAGAUGCAUAUUAUUUUUGCAGAAUAUUUUCAAUCAAUAAUACUUUGAUUUUUUUUUGAAUUACUAGCCUAAAUGAAAAGGAUAUGAAUGAUGAAGAUUAAAGCAGAUAUAAGUUGAUUGAUUUAUACAUGG